UACGUAGGGUGCGAGCGUUAAUCGGAAUUACUGGGCGUAAAGCGUGCGCAGGCGGCGCGUUAAGACAGGUGUGAAAGCCCCGAGCUUAACUUGGGAAUUGCGCUUGUGACUGGCGAGCUGGAGUGUGGCAGAGGGAGGUGGAAUUCCACGUGUAGCAGUGAAAUGCGUAGAGAUGUGGAGGAACACCGAUGGCGAAGGCAGCCUCCUGGGCCAGCACUGACGCUCAUGCACGAAGCGUGGGAGC
rnacentral:rRNA from 1 species